rnacentral:rRNA from 1 species
GAUGAACGCUGGCGGCGUGCCUAAUACAUGCAAGUCGAGCGAACAGACGAGGAGCUUGCUCCUCUGACGUUAGCGGCGGACGGGUGAGUAACACGUGGAUAACCUACCUAUAAGACUGGGAUAACUUCGGGAAACCGGAGCUAAUACCGGAUAAUAUAUUGAACCGCAUGGUUCAAUAGUGAAAGACGGUGUUGCUGUCACUUAUAGAUGGAUCCGCGCCGCAUUAGCUAGUUGGUAAGGUAACGGCUUAGCAAGGCAACGAUGCGUAGCCGACCUGAGAGGGUGAUCGGCCACACUGGAACUGAGACAGGGUCCAGACUCCUACGGGAGGCAGCAGUAGGGAAUCUUCCGCAAUGGGCGAAAGCCUGACGGAGCAACGCCGCGUGAGUGAUGAAGGUCUUCGGAUCGUAAAACUCUGUUAUUAGGGAAGAACAAAUGUGUAAGUAACUAUGCACGUAUUGACGGUACCUAAUCAGAAAGCAACGGCUAACUACGUG